rnacentral:tRNA from 1 species
GGUUGUGGCUCAGAGGUAGAGCAUUCCCUUAGCAUGCAUGAGGCCCUGGGUUCGAUCCUCAGCACCA